GAUGAACGCUAGCGGCAGGCCUAAUACAUGCAAGUCGGACGGGAUUCAGGAGCUUGCUUCUGAUGAGAGUGGCGCACGGGUGCGUAACACGUAUGUAACCUACCUUUAUCAGGGGGAUAGCCUCCCGAAAGAGAGAUUAAGCCCGCAUAAAAUCACAGCACAGCAUUGUGUAAUGAUCAAAUAUUUAUAGGAUAAAGAUGGGCAUGCGGAACAUUAGCUAGAUGGCGGGGUAACGGCCCACCAUGGCGACGAUGUUUAGGGGAUCUGAGAGGAUGGCCCCCCACACUGGUACUGAGACACGGACCAGACUCCGACGGGAGGCAGCAGUAAGGAAUAUUGGUCGAUGGGCGGAAGCCUGAACCAGCCAUGCCGCGUGCAGGAAGACGGCCCUACGGGUUGUAAACUGCUUUUAUACGGGAAUAAACCCAGAUACGUGUAUCUGGCUGAAUGUACUGUAAGAAUAAGGAUCGGCUAACUCCGUG
rnacentral:rRNA from 1 species